rnacentral:rRNA from 1 species
UACAGAGGUCUCGAGCGUUAGGCGGAAUCACUGGGCUUAAAGCGUGUGUAGGCGGAUCGUUAAGUACCUUGUGAAAUCCCACGGCUUAACCGUGGAACUGCUUGGUAUACUGGCGGUCUUGAGCCAGCUAGGGGCUACCGGAACAAAUGGUGGAGCGGUGAAAUGCGUAGAUAUCAUUUGGGAACGCCAAUGGUGAAAACAGGUAGCUGGGGCUGUGCUGACGCUGAGACACGAAAGCCAGGGGAGCAAACGGG